rnacentral:rRNA from 1 species
UGUGGUGGAUUCUCGAAAGUUUAUGUGAAUUGCAGCCACGUUGAACAUAGAAAUUUUGAACGCACAUUGCGGUGUUGAGUUGACUCGACGCCGCGUCUGUCUGAGGGUCG